UCUCUCUCUCUCUCUCCCUCCCUCUCUCUCUAUCUCUCGUUUCCUUUAAACCCUAAUUGAUGGAAGCCAACCUAAAAAAAUGUACGCCUCUUCCCUCUCAUCUCUCCACUGCUGAUCUUUUGAGUUUUCUUCAAACUAGCCGCCACACAAGACAAAAAACACCACCACUGCCAUCGUGAUUGUCGAAUCCGCCAACAACACCACCGCUACCGUCAUCAUCACACAACAAUUAUCUCUGUGAAUGCUACUGGAAGCGACCAAUAAGGGUUUGAAGGGCCCACUUGCGAGCCAAGGAAGGCUAUCGGCGUCGUCUGUGGUUGGCAGUCGGCAACGUCUGUGGUCGGCAGUCGUGAUGGCGAGGGGAGCGUCUCCGGGGUCGGCGAGGGUGAAGAGGAGGAAAAGAGACAAAAAUGCACCCUGAAGAUUGAGGGUAUUGAAACUCCGGGUCUCUUAAAAUGGGUGAAACCAGUGGUAAUGGAAGCUUACCAAUACCACCUCUAUCAAACUAUAGAAUUGGGAAAACCCUUGGGAUUGGAUUUGUUUGAGAAGAUGAAAGUUGAAGAAUUUGAGCUAUUAUGUUCUGUAUUUUUUUAGAUGUAAGUUAUAUUAUAUUUUGAUGAAUUAAUUUAUGUUAGAAUGCAUAUUUAUUUAUGAAUAGUAGUGUAUUCAUUUGUGAUUAGCAGGGCAUUCAUGUGUGAACGAAUGUAUUUAUUUUAUGAUUAGAGGUAUUCAAUGCUGAAUAAUAGUGUAUUCAUUUGUUAA